CUCUGAACAGACCCUCCAGACGAAGACCUGGCAGAUCGUGGCACCAUGAGAGAGACAUGAAGCUCUGGUUAUAGCACCAUCCAGAGGAAAACAAGUACAACUGCAGCUUCUGGGAUAAAGAUUUGCAGAGUACAGGAUGUACUACAGUUUGGAACAAAUAUGAUACUCCACCAUGCUCCGGACCACCACAGGAACCCCGUCCUUGACAAGUCCCAGACCUCUCAACUCCAGCAGGGACA